CCCUGAAGAGAUCAUCAAUGAAUAUCUGCUUCUUCCGUUGUACCCUUCCCGAGAAAAAGAGGAGGGUCCACAUGGCAGCUGGGACACAAACCAAUAUGUGUCGAUCAUUCUACCUCCUGUAAUACUUGUCCUGAUGCCUGUUCUCCUUCUGCUGGCUUUCUGCACCUGGAGAAGAAGAUCGAACAAGACGGUAACAAUGUAGAGAGCUCAGCUCAUUUGUGAUGGGCGUGGCAUACAAUAGAAACGCCCAACCAACAGGUGCAAUGACAGGAAAUCUCCAGGAGGCAAGCGUAUCUCUAGACGGUUACACAAGUCUUC